UACGUAGGGUGCGAGCGUUAAUCGGAAUUACUGGGCGUAAAGUGUGCGCAGGUGGCUGAGCAAGUCGAGUGUGAAAUCCCCGGGCUUAACUUGGGAAUUGCGCUCGAAACUACUUGGCUCGAGUGUGGCAGAGGAAGGUGGAAUUCCAGGUGUAGCGGUGAAAUGCGUAGAGAUCUGGAGGAACACCGAUGGCGAAGGCAGCCUUCUGGGCCAACACUGACGCUCAUGCACGAAAGCGUGGGAAGCAAACAGG
rnacentral:rRNA from 1 species